ACAACAUGAAGUGCUCUGCCCUCUGCCUCCUGACUGUGGCCCUGGCCUUUGUGACUCUGCUCUCUGCUGUGGAAGGUGUGAUUAAACUCAAAUGAGGAGAAUGUCCUAGUGCGGACGGUUUUGGGAUCUGUGUCAGUUCCUGCACCUCCGACCAAGACUGUGAUGACAUCUUGAAAUGCUGCUCCAACGGCUGUGGAAAAACCUGUCAGGACCCAGUUAUAACAAUUUCUCUUCAGAGUCCAAACCAGGAACGUGCCCUGAUCUGAUCCCUCAUAUCUUCGAGUGUGAUGAUACAUGCUCCUCAGAUAGCCAUUGUGACAGGAACUACAAUGUUGCUACAGCGGCUGUGGGUACCAGUGCACAAGCCCUGAGCAUUGCAAAAAGGCAAAUAAAUUGCAAUAAUCAGCUCAGUCAUUAAAAGGGUUAAUCUCCUGAAUCAUGAAUUAAGUACUUGCAUAGCUCUUAUUUUAACUAUUUAUUCGUAUAGGCCUGCUUGUCAAAAGACUCACCUUUGCUGAGAAAAUUGUGAAAAAAUUGUGCAAAUGCCUGAAAUGGCUACAGUAACAGUUAUAGUUACAUGUUGUUGAUGCAUGUCCUGUGCUUUUUGUCCUGCUCUGUUUUCAGUUUGAUUGUUUAAUAAAGAUGUCAAACUUCAA